GACGAGUUCUACUUUAUCAGACAAGUGGAGCUCUCGCAAUGGAAGAAGAAAUCGCAGCAACUGAGGGGCCGUAAUAUUGCAACAGGACUUGGUAUCGGAGCCAUUGUAAUAGGAAUUUGUAUCCUUGUCAAACAGUCACACAAGAUGCCUACACGUUUUACUCAGUGAAACAGGAGAAGAUCAUGGAUGAGCUGGAUGAGGAGGCCAAGAUAAGAGGGGCAAAGACAGGCGCCAACUGACAUGGCAAUCAGAAAACUUAGCUAAAAUGGACUGUGUGGUGUGCCAGGUAUCCUAUCUACUUUACUGGAAUGGACGAAGGGACUAAUGCAGAAGCUACACCUUAUUCCACUGCUAGCCAUUGUCAACUUUGAAUUGGAACUACUGAACUGAGACAAAGAAACACAAUCCUAUUUAAAUAUAUUUAUGUUGAUAAAGGACAGAGUUGUAAAAAAUGUAUUAUGUAGUUUCUUUUACAAAACAAAUGACAUCUUCAUGUAAGGUCAGUGUAAUGUUUCCUAGGCUAAAUGCCAGACAUACAGUUCAAGUCAGAAGUUUACAUGCACCUUAGCCAAAUACAUUUAAACUCAGUUUUAAACUAUUCCUGACAUUUAAAUCCUAGUUUUAAACAAUUCCUGACAUUUAAUCCUAGUAAUAAUUCCCAAUUUUAGGUCUGUUAGGAUCACCACUUUAUUUUAAGAAUGUGAAAUGUCAGAAUAAGAGUAGAGUGAUUUAUUUCAGAUGUGAUUUCUUUCAGCACAUUCCCAGUGGGUCAGAAGUUUACAUACACUCAAUUAGUAUUUGGGAGCAUUGCCUUUAAAUUGUUUAACUUGGGUCAAAUGUUUCGGGGAGCCUUCCCCAAGUUUCCCAGAAUAAGUUGGGUGAAUUGUCUCAUUCUUCCUGACAGAGCUGGUGUAACUGAGUCAGGUUUGUAUAGGCCUCUGCUCGCACACUUUCAGUUCUGCCCACAAAUGUUCUAUACGAUUGAGGUCAGGGCUUUGUGAUGGCCACUCCAAUACCUUGACUUUGUUGUCCUUAAGCCAUUUUGCCCCAACUUUGGAAGUAUGCUUUGGGCCAUUGUCCAUUUGGAAGACCCAUUUGCGAUCAAGCUUUAACUUCCUGACUGACGUCUUGAGAUGUUGCUUCAAUAUAUCCACAUAAUGUUCCUGCCUCAUGAUGCCAUCUAUUUUGUGAAGUGCACCAGUCCCCCCUGCAGCAAACCACCCACACAACAUGAUGCUGCCACUCCCGUGCUUCACAGUUGGGCUGGUGUUCUUCGGGUUGCAAGCCUCCCCCUUUUUGCUCCAAACAUAAUGGUGGUCAUUAUGACCAAACAGUUCUAUUUUUGUUUCAUCAGACCAGAGGACAUUUCUGCAAAAAAGUAUGAUCUUUGUCCCCAUGUGUAGUUGCAAACCGUAGUCUGGAUUUUUUAUGGCGGUUUUGGAGCAGUGGCUUCUUCCUUGCUGAGUGGCCUUUCAGGUUAUGUUGAUCUUCACAAGGUUCUUUGCUGGGAUUGAUUUUCACUUCUUGCACCAAAGUACGUUCAUCUCUCGGAGACAGAACGCGUCUCCUUCCUGAGCGGUAUGAUGGCUGCAUGGUCCCAUGGUGUUUAUACUUGCAUACUAUUGUUUGUACAGUUGAACAUGUUACCUUCAGACGCUUGGAAAUUGCUCCCAAGGAUGAACCAGACUUGUGGAGGGCCACAAUUUUUUUUAUGAGGUCUUGGCUGAUUUCCUUUGAUUUUCCAAUGAUGCCAAGUAAAGAGGAACUGAGUUUGAAGGUAUGCCUUGAAAUACAUCCACAUGUACACCUCCAAUUGACUCAAAUGAUGUCAAUUAGCCUAUCAGAAGCUUCUAAAGCCAUGACAUAAUUUUCUGGAAUUUUCCAAGCUGUUUAAAAGCACAGUCAACUUAGUUUAUGUAAACUUCUGACCCACUGGAAUUGUGAUAUUGUGAAUUAUAAUUGAAAUAAUCUGUUUGUAAACAAACAAUUGUUGGAAAAAAUACUUGUGUAAUGCACAAAGAAGAUGUCCUAACCCACUUGCCAUAACUAUAGUUUGUUAACAAGAAAUAUGUAGAGUGGUUGAAAAAUGAGUUUUAAUGACUCCAACCUAAGUGUAUGUAAACUUCCAACUUCAACUGUACAUCAAUAUUGUCAAAAUAGUACGGAAGCAGAGAGGAGCACUAUCAUAAUUCCAACUGUUUAUUAUGUCAAAAUAUGAUUUACAGAGUAUGCUGUAGCCACCAAACCUACAGAGUAAAAAUAUUAAAUAAGACAUUGCAAGGGGAAGGCACAGAUUUGAGCAUGGCAGGACAGCAGCUUUGCAUAUCAAAGUGAUACAAUCAUACACAUAUAUUAAAAUAUUAGCAUUGUAAUCACAUUUUCUUUAAAUAUAUACACUUGUGGAAAUCUUAGGUGAGUAUUAUCCUGAGUGGCGCAGAGGUCUAAGGCAGUGCAUCUGGGCUAGAGGUGUCACUACAGACCCUGGUUUGAUUCCAGACUGUAUCACAACCGGCCGUGACUGGGAGUCCCAUGGGGUGGCACACAAUUGGCCCAGUGACGUUAGGGUUUGGCCGGAGUAGGUCGUCAUUGUAUAUAAUCAUUUGUUCUUAACGGACUUAAAUGAACUAAAAAUAGAAUUCAGUGUGCGUAUUUAAGGCAAUGGCUAAGGGCUCACAGUUCCAUCCAUUUGUUAUGCAGUCAUUCUCUCACCUCCCUACCUGUGCAUAUAAAUAAGCUACUUCAUUUAACAAAAAGUGUGAAAUUAGUGACUACUAAAGUAGAAGUUACUAAAGUGCAGAGGGUGCCUUGUUUAUUACACAUUGCAGAAAUGUUUUAUCAUUGUUCAAUGUCGUGUACAAAACAUUAGGAACACCUUUAGGACAGCCCAUUUAGUCUACUGGUCGAUUGUUUGUUCCAUAGGCUGUUGUUCCAUGUCUGAUUUGCGCAUGUCUCAGUGGACUAAUUCAUUGAGGAGGCCGUGGUCAAAGAAGGAGCGUGUGGCUAAGAUGCAGAAGGCAUAUCUCAUUGUUUCAUAAAUUCAUUGUGUUAACUGUUUCCCCUUUGAUUGUUAGUGUCUAUGAUCAAUUCCCUGUUACAUACAAUACCGGUAAAAAGUUUUAGAACACAUACUCAUUCCAGUGUUACACUUUUUACUAUUUUCUACAUUGUAAGAAGACAUCAACAAUAUGGAAUCAUGUAGUAACCAAAAAAGUGUUCAACAAAUCAAAAUGUAACUUAUAUCUGAGUUUCUUCAAAAGCCACCCUUUGCCUUGAUGACAACUUUGCACACUCUUAGCUUUCUCUCAACCAGCUUCAUAAGGUAAUCACUGAAUCUUCAUGCGUUUCAAUUAACAGGUGUGCCUUGUUAAUUUGUGGAAUGUCUUUCCUUCUUAAUGCGUUUGAGACAAUCAGUUGCAUUGUGACAACGUAGGGGUGGUAUACAGAAAAUAGGCCUAUUUGGUACAAUACCAAGUCCAUAUUAUUGCUAGAACAGCUCAAAUAAGCAAAGACAGUCCAUUAUUACUUUAAGACAUGAAGGUCAGUCAAUACAGAACAUUUCAAGAACUUUUGAAAGUUUCCUCAAGUGCAAUCGCAAAAACCAUCAAGCGCUAUGAUGAAACUGUCUCUCAUGAGGACCGCCACAGGACAGGAAGACCCAGAGCUACCUCUGAGGAUAAGUUCAUUAGAGUUACCAGCUUCAGAAAUUGCAGUCCAAAUAAAUGCUUCACAGAGUUCAAGUAACAGACACAUCUCAACAUCAACUGUUCAGAUGAGACUGUGUGAAUCAGGCCUUCAUGGUCGAAUUGCUGCAAAGAAACCCCCACUAAAGGACACCAAUAAUAGGAAAAGACUUGCUUGGGCCAAGAAACACAAGCAAUGGACAUUAGACUGGUGGAAAUGUGUCCUUUGGUCUGGAGUCCAAAUUGGAGAUUUUUGGUUCCAACCGCCGUGUCUUUGUGAGAUGCAAUGUGGGUGAACGGAUGAUCUCAGCAUGCAAUGGGGCAAAAAAGUAUUUAGUCAGCCACCAUUGUGCAAGUUCUCCCACUUAAAAAGAUGAGAGGCCUCUAAUUUUCAUCAUAGGUACACUUCAACUAUGAGAGACAAAAUGAGCAUUUCUUUUCCAGAAGAUAACAUUGUAGGAUUUUAAAUUUAUUUAUUUGCAAAUGAUGGUGGAAAAUAAGUAUUUGGUAAAUAACAACCGUUUAUCUCAAUACUUAUACUUAUAUACCCUUUAUUGGCAAUGACAGAGGUCAAACGUUUUCUGUAAGUCUUCACAAGGUUUUCACACACUGUUGCUGGUAUUUUGGCCCAUUCCUCCAUGCAAAUCUCCUCUAGAGCAGUGAUGUUUUGGGGCUAUUGCUGGGCAACACAGAUUUUCAACUCCCUCCAAAGAUUGUCUAUGGGGUUGAGAUCUGGUGACUGGCUAGGCCACUCCAGGACCUUGAAAUGCUUCUUACGAAGCCACUCCUUCGUUGCCCGGGCGGUGUGUUUGGGAUCAUUGUCAUGCUGAAAGACCCAGCCACGUUUCAUCUUCAAUGCCCUUGCUGAUGGAAGGAGGUUUUCACUCAAAAUCUCACGAUACAUGGCCCCAUUCAUUCUUUCUUUUACACGGAUCAGUCGUCCUGGUCCCUUUGCAGAAAAACAGCCCCAAAGCAUGAUGUUUCCACCCCCAUGCUUCACAGUAGGUAUGGUGUUCUUUGGAUGCAACUCAGUAUUCUUUGUCCUCCAAACACGACGAGUUGAGUUUUUACCAAAAAGUUAUAUUUUGGUUUCAUCUGACCAUAUGACAUUCUCCCAAUCUUCUUCUGGAUCAUCCAAAUGCUCUCUAGCAAACUUCAGACAGGCCUGGACAUGUACUGGCUUAAGCAGGAUUUGAGUCCCUGGCGGCGUAGUGUGUUACUGAUGGUAGGCUUUGUUACUUUGGUCUCAGCUCUCUGCAGUUCAUUCACUAGGUACCCCUGUGUGGUUCUGGUUCUUGUGAUCAUUUUGACCCCACGGGGUGAGAUCUUGCGUGGAGCCCCAGAUUGAGGGAGAUUAUCAGUGGUCUUGUAUGUCUUCCAUUUCCUAAUAAUUGCUCCCACAGUUGAUUUCUUCAAACCAAGCUGUUUACCUAUUGCAGAUGUAGUCUUCCCAGCCUGGUGCAGGUCUACAAUUUUGUUUCUGGUGUCCUUUGACAGCUCUUUGGUCUUGGCCAAAGUGGAGUUUGGAGUGUGACUGUUUGAGGUUGUGGACAGGUUGUGGACAGGUGUCUUUUAUACUGAUAACAAGUUCAAACAGGUGCCAUUAAUACAGGUAACGAGUGGAGGACAGAGGAGCCUCUUAAAGAAGAAGUUACAGGUCUGUGAGAGCCAUAAAUCUUGCUUGUUUGUAGGUGACCAAAUACUUAUUCUCCACCAUAAUUUGCAAAUAAAUUCAUUAAAAAUCCUACAAUGUGGUUUUCUGGAUUUUUUUUCUCAUUUUGUCUGUCAUAGUUGAAGUGUACCUAUGAUGAAAAUUACAGGCCUCUCAUCUUUUUAAGUGGGAGAACUUGCACAAUUGGUGACUGACUAAAUACUUUUUUGCCCCACUGUAUGUAUUUCCCACCGUAAAGCAUAGAGAAGGGGGUGGUGUUAUGUUGUGGGGGUGCUUUGCUGGUGACACUGUCUGUGAUUUAUUUAGAAUUCAAGGCACACCUAACUAGCAUGGCUACCACAGCAUUCUGCAGCAAUUAUGCCAUCCCAUCUGGUUUGAGCUUAGUGGGACUAUAAUUGUGUUUUUCAACAGGACAAUGACCCAACACACCUCCUUGCUGUGUAAGGGCUAUUUGAACAAGAAGGAGAGUGAUGGAGUGCUGCAUCAGAUGACCUGGCCUCCACAAUCCCCCGACCUCAACCAAAUUGAGAUGGUUUGAGAUGAGUCGGACCGCAGUGUGAAGGAAAAGCAGCCAACAAGUACUCAGCAUAUGGGAUCUCCUUCAAGACUGUUGGAAAAGCAUUCCAGGUGAAGCUGGUUGAGAGAAUGCCGAGAGUGUGCAAAUCUGUCAUCAAGGCAAAGGGUGGCUAUUUUGAUGUUUUACACUUUUUUGGUUAAUACAUUAUUCCAUAUGUGUUAUUUCAUAGUUUUGCCGUCGUCACUAUUAUUCUACAAUGUAGAAAAUAGUACAAAAUAAAUAAAAACCCUUGAAUGAGUAGGUGUUCUAAAACUUUUGACCAGUAGUGUAUAUCGCCAGUAAUAGGCUACAUUUACCAUUAAUCCCCAUCAUUUCUAAUCUACAAUGAUUGUUUGGUUAGGGUCAUUUCUGUUAAUGCUGUUAUAUUAUUACACCAGUAUUUUGCAGUUCUAAUUGUCGGAGUGGACAUGUUGUUUGCAGAGCUCACAACUUAUGCUACACUUGUGAGGAACAAGUUUUGGUUCAUUUCAAUCAAUUUAUGAGUUUUGUCAAUGUAUUAAUUGUCUUUUCUUUGGAGCGCUCCUGUCAAUGUUGAGUAAGGACGUGCAUAUAGGCCUAGAAGUAUAUAGGCCUAGACUACCUGGCCUGCGUGCAAAUGCAGGCCUAUAAAUGUGCCCAUUUGGGGGAUGUCU